rnacentral:lncRNA from 1 species
CUGAGGAGGAGCUUGACAUAAAAGCUUUAUUUAUGGGAAAAUCCCUCUUUUUUUUUUUUAUUUUAUUUUUAGGGGGUGGAAACGGGGAUUUGGUGUUCCCCGCGAGACCUGGCUUGUGUCAUCCAAAUAUUCCAUGGAAUGCAGGCACUGGGAACAGCCAAGGAGUGAUGUCCGGCUGGGUUUUUUUUGUCAAUGGCAUGGAGAGAUACUGGGAGGAUAUUCCACAAUCUCCCCACACCGCUGUGAGUGAGCAGAGGCUUGAAGCCUGGAGCAGAUGAAGAAAUUCCCUGUUUCUGGAGCAACCCUGAGCUUCCUCCCUACGAAUUCCGAGUGCGGGAUGGCUUUAAAUCAUGGCAAAGCUCACGUAGCUGAAACGGCUUUGUCCCAAAACGGCAGCUUUUUUGUAGCUCAACCCAUCUGAAAAUUCCUCUUUGGAUUUAGAACAAAACCUCUCAUUUUGCUCCUCCAGCCUGGUUUAAAAAUAGGGAAACAACAGCCUCUCCUAAAAAUAGGGAGACAAACAUUUUCCUAAAAAAAAAAAAACAAAAACAAAAACCGCUUUUUUUAUUCCUAUCUAUUUUUGUUGCCCAGGCCCUGACUCAGCAAGGAAUUUCUCCUUUGUGCACGUUCCAUCUUUAUUCCCAUCUCCUUCUGCUUCCAAGGAAUUGGCUCUUGGGUCCAGACAGUGGGAAUUUGGGAAAAGCUGAAGGAGCAGGAGGAAGGAAAGGAAAGCUGGGAUGGAAAGGAGCUCCAUGGUUUAACCUCCACUGGGAAUUAACCCACAGUGGAAUGGGGGAGGGAAAAGGAGGGAAAACUCAUGGGUUGAUAUAAAGAGGAAUAGGGGAGGAAAAUCCACAGGUAAAAAAGAAAACAAGGAAUUCAUUCCCAGCUUUUCAUCCCAGGCAGGUGUUUGCCCGUCCCUGGAAAACCAGGCUCCAUCCCAGGAAUGACAACCUGGGAAGACAAAAUGGUGUCACUCGGAAUGCCCCCACAUUCCUUCUUUUUCCCCAGGUUUAUCUCCUGAGGGUGGUGUCCCAUGUUCUGGAAUAUCCCCGAGGUCAUGGCUGCGGCCCUUCCCAGCUCCUGCUGAA